CACGUAGGACGCGAGCGUUGUCCGGAAUUAUUGGGCGUAAAGAGCUCGUAGGCGGCCUGUUGCGUCCGCUGUGAAAGCCCGGGGCUUAACCCCGGGUCUGCAGUGGAUACGGGCAGGCUAGAGGUAGGUAGGGGAGAAUGGAAUUCCCGGUGUAGCGGUGAAAUGCGCAGAUAUCGGGAGGAACACCGGUGGCGAAGGCGGUUCUCUGGGCCUUACCUGACGCUGAGGAGCGAAAGCGUGGGGAGCGAACAGG
rnacentral:rRNA from 1 species